GAACCUGCGGAAGGAUCAUUAUAGAAUGCGUGCCCUUCGGGGCCGUCUUUCUACACCCUUUGUUUACCAACCUGGUGCCCGAAAGCGUCCGUCCCUUCGGGGGCGGCCUGACGGCGCCGCAACCUCUGGAGCAGAUUGUAACAAAUCGAAUCCAUACACAACUUUUAACAAUGGAUCUCUUGGUUCUGGCAUCGAUGAAGAACGCAGCGAAACGCGAUAGGUAUUGUGAAUUGCAGAAUUUAGUGAAUCAUCGAAUCUUUGAACGCACAUUGCGCCCCCUGGCACUCCGGGGGGCAUGCCUGUCCGAGCGUCAUUUCAACCCUCCAGCCCGGCUGGUGUUUGGGCCUUCGUCCUCCGGGGCGGGCCUCAAAGACAGGGACGACGCCGCGUCGAAACCCCCGAGCGUAUGAGACUCUGUCGCUGCUCGAUCGGGACGACCGGUUCGGUCCAACCAACCCAUCUUUUUUCAGGUGGACCUCGGAUCAGGUAGGGAUACCCGCUGAACUUAAGCAUA
rnacentral:rRNA from 1 species